ACACACCUGGAAAACUGCUGAAUAUUCUAUUAAAGAUCUUUCCCUGGGAACUCCCCUAAAAUCUCUGCCCUUAAAACCCUUAGGAUGGAGGACCCAGUGCUUUGCCCUCCUGGGAGCCCGCCCAUGCCUUUCCUUUCCCCCUCCCUCUCCUGGCCCCAGGUGGAGUCACCAUUAGCUUCCUUACUCCCCAAGGUCCAAGGGCCCUUCCUUUACCACUAUACCUUGUUUCCUAAACCUAUUUCUUCUAAGAAUUACUUUUGCUACCUCUGUAAUUUACCCAGUAAAUGUUCUCUUACAGUUUGGGUCUGGCUCUGAAUUCUUUCUUAGCCAGAACUCAAGUACUGAGGUUGCUGACCCUCAGAGCAGGACACAUGAUCAAGAUGGGGAGGCUGCUGGUCAGACCCACCGGUUGGUCAGACACUUGGUGCCAUCCCUGCCACCUACAACAGAUCUAAUGAGAGAAAGAGGGAAGCAUCAAUGUGAGAGCCGAAUAUCAAUCAGCUGCCUCUUGCAUGCCUCCUACACCUGUUGUGACCAGGAAUUGAACCAUCAACCUUUUGGUGCAUGGAACUACUACUCAACCAACUGAGCCACACCAGCCAGAGCCCACACGAACAAUUGUAACCCUAUUUUUGCCCAUCCCUAUACUUAUGGUAGUAUAUAUUAACUUUCCUUUUAAAGUUGUGAAUCUUGUUGGUCUUCUUUAAUGGUUUAGUGUUUUAAUUAAAUAAAGCAUACAACAGAGUUAAUCUAAA